UACGUAGGGGCGAGCGUUGUCCGGAAUUAUUGGGCGUAAAGGGUUCGUAGGCGGUUAUUUAAGUCAGAUGUGAAAGGCAUAGGCUCAACCUGUGUAAGCAUUUGAAACUGAGUAACUUGAGUUAAGGAGAGGAAAGUGGAAUUCCUAGUGUAGCGGUGAAAUGCGUAGAUAUUAGGAGGAAUACCAGUGGCGAAGGCGACUUUCUGGACUUAUACUGACGCUGAGGAACGAAAGCGUGGGGAGCAAACAGGAUUAGAUACCCUGGUAGUCCCUGAGCGGG
rnacentral:rRNA from 1 species